UACGAAGGGGGCUAGCGUUGCUCGGAAUCACUGGGCGUAAAGCGCACGUAGGCGGAUUGCUAAGUCAGGGGUGAAAUCCUGGAGCUCAACUCCAGAACUGCCUUUGAUACUGGCGACCUUGAGUCCGGGAGAGGUGAGUGGAACUGCGAGUGUAGAGGUGAAAUUCGUAGAUAUUCGCAAGAACACCAGUGGCGAAGGCGGCUCACUGGCCCGGUACUGACGCUGAGGUGCGAAAGCGUGGGAGCAAACAGGGAUAGAACCCGUGA
rnacentral:rRNA from 1 species